ACACAAACCUGAUGCCAUGCCGGAGGGAAACAGGUGGUGACGUCACCCUUUCCGCAAGGGACGCCAUCCCAGCCCCACUCACUACUACCUUCCAACAAAUGGGACACCUCAUCCACUAUCACUCCAGGGUUGCAGGGAACCUGGAGCCUAUCCCCGAGAUACGGAGCACAGGCAGGGGACACCCUGGACGGCGUGCCAAUCCAUUCCAGGGCACACUUACACACACAUUCACACACCCAUUCAUACAUUACGGACACGUUGGACAUGCCAAUCAGCCUACAAUGCAUGCCUUUGGACUUGGGGAGGAAACUGUGGUACCUGGAGGAAACCCCCGAGGCACAAGGAGAACAUGCAAGCUCCGCACACACAGGGCAGUGGCAGGAAUCGAACCCUCAACCCAGGAGGUGUGAGGCAAAUCUGAUACCCACUAAGCCACCCCCCAUAUCAGUACAUUUAAAUGUGAAAUAUUACUUGAGAUUUGCAACCAUACCUUUGAUAAUAACUUAAGCAACACUGAGAUUUAUUUGUUUGUUUGUUUGUUUGUUUUACCUAAACUGCUGUAGAUAUAGAUCUAUUGCACAUAAAAACUGUUGCUACAAAAAGUGCAAGGAACCAGGUUGCGCAAUAUUUGCCAUUUAUUUAGAAGAAACAAAACCACUAUACAGAGAUAAACUGUUAGUCGGGUCCUACUACACUUAGAGUAGUGACACUGUGAUAGUGUGACCACAGUUUAUGUGUUUAGAAAAAGUGACUAGUAAUAAAUAAAAUAAAUUGCACACAAACCAACAUUGGAGCCUGUUUUUUUAUGAAAGCAGUUGCUUAGUUAUUGUUAGUUCUCAUAGAUGCAUUCCUCUCUCUGAGUCUGCGUGAUUGUCUGUGGAAUAGGUCUGG